rnacentral:lncRNA from 1 species
GAAACUAAACCCGAAAAUGGUGCAGAUGCCAAGAUGGUAGAAGCGGAGAACGAGGUGGCUGUUACUGUCUCUGAAGUUGGAGGUGAUGGGGCUGCAGAUGAAGAGGAAAUUGAUCCUUUAGAUGCUUUUAUGAAUGCGAUGGUAUUACCUGAGGUUGAGAAGCUUAGCAGCAGUACUCCUCCAGCAAUUGAAGAUAGUAUUUUGGUAACUAAGAAUAAUGGGAAGAAAAGUGAUCACCAGCCGAAGAAAGGUUUUAACAAAUCCCUUGGUAGGAUAAUGCAAGGUGAAGAUUCUGAUUCUGAUUAUUCAGAACCGAAGGAUGAUGAUGAUCCAAGUUUAGAAGAAGAUGAUGAGGAGUUCAUGAAGAGAGUAAAGAAGACAAAAGCAGAAAAAUUGGCUCUUGUUGACCACUCAAAAAUAGAGUAUGAACCUUUCCGGAAGAACUUCUAUAUUGAAGUGAAGGAGAUCUCAAGGAUGACACAAGAAGAAGUUAACGCUUACAGAAAGGAAUUUGAGCUGAAAGUCCAUGGAAAGGAUGUACCGAGACCCAUAAAAUCUUGGCACCAGACUGGACUAACCAGCAAAAUUUUGGAUACCAUGAACAAGCUCAAGUAUGAAAAGCCAAUGCCUAUCCAAACGCAAGCACUGCCAAUCAUCAUGAGCGGUCGAGAUUGCAUUGGAGUUGCAAAAACCGGAUCAGGUAAAACGCUAGGUUUUGUUUUGCCUAUGUUGAGGCAUAUCAAGGAUCAGCCUCCCGUUGAAGCUGGCGAGGGGCCAAUUGGGCUUGUAAUGGCACCUACUAGGGAGCUUGUUCAGCAGAUUCAUAGCGAUAUCAAAAAGUUUUCAAAGGCACUGGGUAUAAGAUGUGUUCCUGUGUAUGGAGGAUCAGGAGUUGCGCAGCAAAUUAGUGAGCUAAAGCGAGGGACAGAGAUUGUUGUGUGCACUCCUGGAAGGAUGAUUGACAUUCUUUGCACAAGCAGUGGGAAAAUCACCAAUCUGCGGAGAGUCACAUUUUUGGUAAUGGAUGAAGCUGAUCGCAUGUUUGACAUGGGUUUUGAGCCUCAAAUUACUCGUAUUAUUCAAAAUAUUCGACCUGAUCGGCAGACUGUGCUCUUUUCUGCCACUUUUCCACGUCAAGUUGAAACAUUGGCACGUAAAGUCUUGAACAAGCCUAUUGAGAUACAGGUUGGUGGAAGGAGUGUUGUGAAUAAGGAUAUAACACAGUUAGUUGAAGUCAGACCGGAGAGUGAGAGGUUCUUAAGACUGCUGGAACUUCUUGGAGAAUGGUAUGAGAAAGGAAAGAUAUUGGUUUUUGUGCAGUCGCAGGAAAAAUGUGAUGCCUUGUUGAAGGAUUUGUUUAAAAGGAGUUAUCCAUGUCUAUCUCUUCACGGUGGUAAAGAGCAGUCUGAUCGUGAAUCAACAAUAUCUGAUUUUAAGAGCAAUGUGUGCAAUAUAUUGAUUGCCACAAGUGUUGCAGCUAGGGGUCUAGAUGUGAAAGACCUUGAGUUGGUUGUAAACUAUGAUGCUCCGAACCACUAUGAAGAUUAUGUGCAUCGCGUUGGCAGGACAGGAAGGGCAGGGCGGAAAGGCUGUGCCGUGACAUUUAUCUCUGAAGAUGAUGCAAAAUAUGCACCAGAUUUAGUAAAGGCCCUGGAACUUUCUGAGCAGCCAAUCCCCGAUGAUCUGAAAGCAAUCGCUGACGGUUUCAUGGCAAAGGUUAGACAGGGUACUGAGCAAGCCCAUGGAACUGGCUAUGGAGGUAGUGGCUUUAAAUUCAACGAAGAGGAAGAAGAAGUUAGGAAAGCAGCAAAGAAAGCACAAGCGAAGGAGUAUGGGUUUGAGGAAGAUAAGUCUGACUCAGAAGAUGAGAAUGAUGUUGUAAGAAAGGCAGGUACUGUUGGUGGUGAUACCUCACAACACCAGGCUGCUCUUGCUCAUAUAGCCGCCAUUGCUGCUGCUGCUAAAGCUAAUGCUGCUGCAAUGAAUCCUCCUGUGACUACAAACCAGUUGCUGCCGAAUGGUGGUGGGCUUACCUCUCUGCCAGGUACCCUUCCGGUUACUAUCCCUGUCGCUGCAGAUGAAGAGGAAAUUGAUCCUUUAGAUGCUUUUAUGAAUGCGAUGGUAUUACCUGAGGUUGAGAAGCUUAGCAGCAGUACUCCUCCAGCAAUUGAAGAUAGUAUUUUGGUAACUAAGAAUAAUGGGAAGAAAAGUGAUCACCAGCCGAAGAAAGGUUUUAACAAAUCCCUUGGUAGGAUAAUGCAAGGUGAAGAUUCUGAUUCUGAUUAUUCAGAACCGAAGGAUGAUGAUGAUCCAAGUUUAGAAGAAGAUGAUGAGGAGUUCAUGAAGAGAGUAAAGAAGACAAAAGCAGAAAAAUUGGCUCUUGUUGACCACUCAAAAAUAGAGUAUGAACCUUUCCGGAAGAACUUCUAUAUUGAAGUGAAGGAGAUCUCAAGGAUGACACAAGAAGAAGUUAACGCUUACAGAAAGGAAUUUGAGCUGAAAGUCCAUGGAAAGGAUGUACCGAGACCCAUAAAAUCUUGGCACCAGACUGGACUAACC